UCGGCCCCGGUUCACGCGGCGCAAUCCGCGACGCGACCCGGCGCC
rnacentral:ncRNA from 1 species